rnacentral:rRNA from 1 species
AUUGAACGCUGGCGGCAGGCCUAACACAUGCAAGUCGAACGAGUGGCGGACGGGUGAGAAACGUCUGGGAACCUGCCUGAUGGAGGGGGAUAACUACGGGAAACGGUAGCUAAUACCGCAUACCAUCGGAUGUGCCCAGAUGGGAUUCGCUAGUAGAUGGGGUAACGGCUCACCUAGGCGACGAUCCCUAGCGGGUCUGAGAGGAUGAACGGCCACACUGGAACUGAGACACGGUCCAGACUCCUACGGGAGGCAGCAGUGGGGAAUAUUGCACAAUGGGCGAAAGCCUGAUGCAGCCAUGCCGCGUGUAUGAAGAAGGUCUUCGGGUUGUAAAGUACUUUCAGCAGGGAAGCGUUACCCACACAGGAAGCAACGGCUAACUCCGUGCCAGCAGCCGCGGUAAUAC